UACGGAAGGGGCAAGCGUUGUUCGGAAUCAUUGGGCGUAAAGGGCGCGUAGGCGGGAUGGCAAGUCGGUCGUGAAAUCCUUCGGCUCAACCGAAGAACGUCGGCCGAUACUGCCGUUCUUGAGGGAUGCAGAGGAGAUUGGAAUUCCCGGUGUAGCGGUGAAAUGUGUAGAGAUCGGGAGGAACACCGGUGGCGAAGGCGGGUCUCUGGGCAUCUCCUGACGCUGAGGCGCGAAAGCGUGGGGAGCAAACGGG
rnacentral:rRNA from 1 species